rnacentral:rRNA from 1 species
CCUUCGGGGGGCAGCAGUGGGGAAUCUUGCACAAUGGGGGAAACUCUGAUGCAGCGACGCCGCGUGAGUGAAGAAGUAAUUCGUUAUGUAAAGCUCUAUCAGCAGGGAAGAAAAUGACGGUAACUGACUAAGCAGCCCCGGCUAACUACGUGCCAGCAGCCGCGGUAAUACGUAGGGGGCACGCGUUGUCCGGAUUUACUGGGUGUAAAGGGAGCGUAGACGGCAGUGCAAGUCUGGAGUGAAAGGCGGGGGCUCAACCCGCGGACUGCACUGGAAACUGUACGGCUGGAGUGCAGGAGAGGUAAGUGGAAUGCCUAGUGUAGCGGUGAAAUGCGUAGAUAUUAGGAGGAACACCAGUGGCGAAGGCGGCUUACUGGACUGUAACUGACGUUGAGGCUCGAAAGCGUGGGGAGCAAACAGGAUUAGAUACCCGGGUAGUC